GAUGAAUGCUGGCGGCGUGCCUAAUACAGGCAAGUCGAGCGCAGGAAACUGACGGAACUCUUCGGAGGGAAGGCAGCGGAAUGAGCGGCGGACGGGUGAGUAACACGUAAGGAACCUGCCUCAAGGAUUGGGACAACUCCGAGAAAUCGGAGCUAAUACCGGAUAGUUCAUCGGACCGCAUGGUCCGCUGAUGAAAGGCGCUCCGGCGUCACCUUGAGAUGGCCUUGCGGUGCAUUAGCUAGUUGGUGGGGUAACGGCCCACCAAGGCGACGAUGCAUAGCCGACCUGAGAGGGUGAUCGGCCACACUGGGACUGAGACACGGCCCAGACUCCUACGGGAGGCAGCAGUAGGGAAUCUUCCACAAUGGUCGAAAGUCUGAUGGAGCAACGCCGCGUGAGUGAUGAAGGUUUUCGGAUCGUAAAACUCUGUUGUAAGGGAAGAGCACGUACGAGAGGGAAUGCUCGUACCUUGACGGUACCUUACGAGAAAGCCACGGCUAACUACGUGCCAGCCGCCGCAGUAA
rnacentral:rRNA from 1 species